GAUGAAUGCUGGCGGCGUGCCUAAUACAUGCAAGUCGAGCGGUAACACUUCGGGUGACGAGCGGCGGACGGCAGAGUAACGCGUAGGAACGUACCCCAAACUGAGGGAUAACGCACCGAAAGGUGUGCUAAUACCGCAUGUGAUCUUCGGAUUAAAGCUUCGGCGGUUUGGGAACGGCCUGCGUAUGAUUAGCUUGUUGGUGAGGUAAUGGCUCACCAAGGCGACGAUCAUUAGCUGGUCUGAGAGGAUGAUCAGCCUGACUGGAACUGAGACACGGUCCAGACUCCUACGGGAGGCAGCAGUAGGGAAUUUUCCACAAUGGGCGAAAGCCUGAUGGAGCAACGCCGCGUGCAGGAUGAAGGCCUUCGGGUUGUAAACUGCUUUUGUCUGUGAAGAUUAUGACGGUAGCAGACGAAUAAGGACCGGCUAACUACGUGCCAGCAGCCGCGGUAA
rnacentral:rRNA from 1 species